rnacentral:tRNA from 1 species
AAUUACUUGUCUGAAUGAAUUAAGUGAGUAUCUUGAAAAUACUUAACAGGAGUUAAAUUCUCCUAGUAAUUU